UGUUGGAUAGUUGUGCUCUUGGAUGUGAUUAUUGCAAUUUUGAAUCUAUUGUUCCUGAUACAGAGCACUUUUAGAUGGCAAUGAGAUAGUAUUUUACUAUAGUUGACUGAAUUUUAUGCAGGAUUGGUAUGUAGAUGAUGAACUUCUCCAUGGAAGAGUUUGCAAGUUAUUCUUCAUCAGCAGCUGCGUGGAUGUUGGCAGUGACUAAUAUUUCAUCAAAAAAAGUUGCAAAGGGAUCUCUUGACAGAGAUAUUGCUCUUUCACAAAUUGAAAAAUGACAAAGGGUCUUCUUUCAUCAAGGCAUGGGAAGAUAGCCAAAAAAAGAAGCAAAGUGGACAAGAAAUAUUGCUCUUUCACAGAUUGAAAAUGACAAAAGGUCUUCUUUCAUUAAGGCAUGGAAAAUACCCAAAAAAAAGAAGUAAAGUGGACAAGAAGUAGGGCUCAAAGAAGCUCUCUGAAGUUGUAACAUGGGAGAAGACCCAAAGAACAAAGCUUGAAGUUAAACUGAAGAAAGUUGAGAUCAAAUUGCAUCUCUCUUAAUAGAUCAAUUGAAGAAACCUUUAUCUCUAGCAACAGGGAUUGUUGGACUAGAUCUCCUAUCCAUGUUGAUAUGCUGGUGGAAAUUGCAGAAUCAACUAGAGCACAAGAAAGCUGAAUAUGCAGAGAAGGAAAAAAAUGAAGUAACAUUAAUUCGUAAGGAGGCAAACUAGGAGAGUCAUGGUUGACACAAGACCAAGGCAAGAACUUUUGCAAACUAUGAACGACGAUUGCCAUUUGCCAAUCAUACAAUACCUAUGUGUAAAUUGUAGUGUUUAGCUCGCAAAAAUCUUCCAAUGUUGGGCCGGUGCUCGCAUGGGCCAUCACUACCUAGUUUUUAUAUUUUAGAAGUGAAAGUUUCAACAUGUCAGCUUUUUGUUUUUAAAUUCAAUAUUGAGGGUAUUAAGGUCUUUAAAAAAAGUUCUAAGCUCAAAUUGAUAAUUUAUUGUGCUUUGUUUUUUUAACCUCAUCAAAAGUUUUAAUAAAAGCCCAUUCUUUUCUUUUUAAUUACCAACAAUGUCAAGUAUAAAAUUUACCAUAAUGCCAUCAAAUGUGGCCUUGCAUA